UACGUAGGGCGCAAGCGUUGUCCGGAAUUAUUGGGCGUAAAGAGCUCGUAGGCGGUCUGUCGCGUCCGUUGUGAAAACUCGAGGCUCAACCUCGGGCUUGCAGUGGAUACGGGCAGACUGGAGUGCGGUAGGGGAGACUGGAAUUCCUGGUGUAGCGGUGAAAUGCGCAGAUAUCAGGAGGAACACCGAUGGCGAAGGCAGGUCUCUGGGCAUUAACUGACGCUGAGGAGCGAAAGCAUGGGGAGCGAACAGG
rnacentral:rRNA from 1 species